CAGUCGCCGCGGGAAUACAGAGGGUGCGAGCGUUAAUAGGAUUUACUGGGCGUAAAGCGUGCGUAGGCGGCUUUUUAAGUCGGAUGUGAAAUCCCUGAGCUUAACUUAGGAAUUGCAUUCGAUACUGGGAAGCUAGAGUAUGGGAGAGGAUGGUAGAAUUCCAGGUGUAGCGGUGAAAUGCGUAGAGAUCUGGAGGAAUACCGAUGGCGAAGGCAGCCAUCUGGCCUAAUACUGACGCUGAGGUACGAAAGCAUGGGGAGCAAACAGGAUUAGAUACCCCAGUAGUCCCUGUCUCUUAUAA
rnacentral:rRNA from 1 species